GAGGGUAUAGCUCAGUGGUAGAGUGUGUGCUUAGCAUGCACAAUGUCCUGGGUUCAAUCCCUAGUACCUCCA
rnacentral:tRNA from 1 species